ensembl:lncRNA
CUGGCACGGCCAGCUGUGCCAUUCCUGUGGCCACGUGGCUGGUGGCCAGACCCGGGCUGGGAGAGAGCUGAGGACUGUUUCCUGGGAAGCCUUGCCCAGUGUCCCCCCACUGCCUUCCCCGUGCAGCUGCUGGGCAAGUCAUCCGCCUGGGCACCGGGGCCUUGCUUGGCGCUGGCGGACACGGAUCCUCCUGGCGGCUCUGGCAGCUUGGACAGGUUCCACGGAGGAAACUGAGGCAGAACCUCACCUGGUCCUGCCAUCCGGUGACUUCGGCGUCUCUACGUCAGAGAGGGAGCUUGUGGGAUCUCCGCCCCCUUCCAAGAUACUGUUCAUUCUUCUUCUUUCUCACAGGGAUGAGUAUUAGUGAAAACGGAUUCUCUUCCGCGAAAGUCACCUCACGUGGCUGCACUCUGGGAAGCUGGCAGGGUUUGCCUCUGACACCACAUUGUCUGUUUUUCUCUUCCGCCCCCCCUCCCAGUUUUAAAAACCACAUUCAUUACUUUUAUUUUCCUUUUCGCUUUAUUUUUCAGUGUGCAUUACGCAAACGUUAAAGAGCAUUAACAAAAUUCUAAGUAAAAGGCGAGAAGAACCACCCACAACUCUGCCACCACCGGCCACACUGCGUCACUUUGCCGGGCCCUGCCCCGCGCAGAGCCACACGCCCAUUCCUCGGGUGAAUACGAUGUAAUCGAUGUGACCAUUUUCCUACAUGUGAUCAAUACCAAUGGCUCCAGCUUCUUGCCGUCGUGGGAAAGCACUCUGCUUUCCCCUGUGGGACCAAUUCCUCGUGAUGAAUCCCUAAGAGUUUCCUCUCGAUUUUGCUUUGGAUCCAGAGGGGCCAGAGAUCUCGGGGAGCUGGGCAUCUCUUUGAUCCUACUGGAAUCUGUCUGAUCUUCAGACUCACCAGGGAACUUUGACAAGAUACUGCCGCCUGGGCCUCCUUGCAGACCCACUGAACUGAAAUUUCUCAGGUGAGUGCAGAAAUGCCCUUGACUCACUCAAUAAGCAGUUGUGGACGAUAACUGUCUUCAUGAGCUCGUGCUUCACUCCUUCACAUAAGGCAAGACCCUUGUCCCUUGACAUGCGUGAGUACCUUUCCCUCUGCUGCUUGGCUGGGGGCUUAGGGGGGCUUUCAUGAGCCUGGGAUCAUGCCCUUCUUGUUGUUCCCAAGCAGAAAAACAUCCCUUGAAAACUGUCUCCCAGAAACAGGAGGGUGAGGGGAGGCAGGAAACCGUCCCACGUGGCAAUCACCUGGGAAGGGAGGGGUGGGUGCAGCUGAAGCAACAGGGAGCUGGGCGGAGGCAUCCUGAAUCCUGGAGUGGGAAGCACAGUGAUGGGGAGUGAGUCUGGGCCCUGCGGGUGUCUAGGGGGCAGCCUGGCAGGACCUCUGCACCCCUUAAAUGUUCUUGUCCACUCUGGUGGACCCACGCCGACCAAACGUCCCUGCAUGCAGGCCUGAGGGCCACAGAGCAGAGGAGGAUUCUGGAUUUCCCCCUUCACUCAGCCGUAUCCUGGCCUCCAGCACAGAGCCUGGCCCUGUCCAUCAAUCCUCGCUGAAUAUUAAAAGCCAGCAUUCACUGAAGUGUUUACAGUGAUUUGAGGACUGUGCUGACCAUUCUACUUGUACUGUCUCAUGUGAUCUGUGCAACAACCCGGAGGAUAGACACUGUUCCUCUUCCCAUUUAGGGAUGAAGCUGAGACAGACUGAGAUCAGGUCAUUUGUGCAAGUCCUCACUGCUGGGAAGGGAAGAGAAGAGCGGGGCUCAGAACCCGGGCCAUGGCCUAGCUUCUGGGCUUCCCGGCUCAGUGGUCCUGCCUUUGCUCUGUCGUGGCUGUGUGGCUGACAGGUUUUGUUCCAAGAGCCAGCCCCUACUCUAAGAAAUGUCACGAAUCACAUAGGCUUUUGUGAGUGUCCUUAGAGCCUGACCUUGAUGUAUGACACUGUCCCUAUGGAAAAAUGUCCCCAUCUUAGGAAAUGUAGUGAAGCCUGGCCAAAGGAAAUGAAGGCUCCAGCACAACUUGGGGUUCUCAGUGUCCUAAACACUCUCCUCUUGGAUGACAUUCCCAAGAAAUGAAGCCAAGAUGAGGUUUGAUCAAACACUCUGCCGAUUCUUAGAACAUCUGCCCUCCAUCCUCUCCCUUCUCUCUCCUUGAACUGGUUUUAGGGGCAACUCAGAAGUCAGACUAAUUCUGGUUAAGAUCUGGGUGCAGUGGGUCAGAGGUCAAAGGGAGGCUUCUCCGCUGCCAGCCCCAGCAUCUGUGCUAUUUCCUGAGUGAUCCAGCCAACUUUGGGGCUGAGCUUCCUCCAGCUGGCCUCUUAAACCCUUCUAGUGGGGCUCCAGAUCCUCCCAGGGGCGCUGGAUCCAGCC